UAGCGCAUGCGCAGCGCAACUGAUUUUCCUCUCCCGAAGGCCAAGUCUACCGAGAGGCACGGAUUGCUCCGUGCGCAGUAACACGCAUUUUGAUACAGAUUUUGCGAGAGCUGUGGGGGCUGGCCGCGCGCCUGUUUGGCGAUCGCGAAGCGAAGGGCGAAGGGAGCAAGCAUGAGGUCGGAAAACGAGAGUGAUGUUUCCCUGUCUGGGGGAGAUUCUGACGAACAUGUUGAGCGGCGACGAGUUAAUGCUGGAUGAUGACCCAUACUCUACGGACCCAAUGCCUUUGGAACCCGCCGACCAUCCACGAGAUGUGGCUGCGGCUAACCCGCGGGAUGACAUUUUUAGGUGUCUGUGUGGAGUCUGCGACCCACAGGAGGCCGACGAGCGCCUGUGUUGCCAUUCUGUAUUCUGUUGCCAGGGUGGUAGAAAUGUGCAACAGUGCCACCGUUGCAGUGCAUAACACAACGAGUGAACCAGAUAUCCCACAUUGGACCCCUCCGAUCUAACCCUGGGAACGAGGCUUAGACGGAAGUGAGCACAGUCUCGACCAACUGCGGACCCCCCCCCCCGCGCGUGUAAAAUGUACUAACCUAACCUCACUACAGAAUUUGCAAAUUACAGCGCAAUUUAUUACUAGCGACGCGCGACUUCCGGUUAGGCUUGUUCCCAGGAGGGGGGUCCGAUAUGGGAAUUUUGCAAUUUCGAUAACACAACACCCAUUACUCAGGGACAUCUGCCUCCGUAGAGAACUUCUAGUGGUGUACGCGCCUCAAUGCUGCCGCUACGAUCAACAUUUUAGGCGACUCAAUCCCCAGGACCACAGCUGCCUGAGGUUCACGGCAUACUCGUCAUUCACAAGAUGGGUCUGGGGAUACCUUGGCCCAAGGAACAGACGACAGGUUCCUGGAUGCGUUGUCCGAGCAAUCCGUCUACGUCUUAUCAAGGCUAUCAGCGUUAGGACCAUCGAAACAAGGGUGUCUUGGCAAGAGAGACAAGCUGGUGCAUACUGAUGGCUGAAAGUGGAGAUAUGUAGUGGCAAGACAAUAAAUUUUGCUGACAUAGGCACACUUCGUGUAAGUGAGCCCUUGGUCAACCCCCUUGCUUCCCAUCAGAGGUUUUCGAGGAUACUAUAGGUGUGGUCUUUUCGUCAUUGCAGUGUGGGGGAUGUUUUGUCUUGUCACUCUGUGUCUCCAGUUGCAGUCAACAGACUGUCUACCCGUCUGUGCAGCAAAAACUACUACACGUGGCGGCAUUAGCUCUGGCAUCAAAUCCAGACUGUACUGCACUAAGUUAGUGCCGAGGUGGGUGU